rfam:Halocynthiibacter arcticus strain PAMC 20958, complete genome.
GGCCACCUUCGGGGGGCUCACACCGCGGAUCACGCCAGUAGGGCAGGGUUCGCUUAGCUAAACGGAAGACAGAAA